AUACGAAGGGGGCUAGCGUUGUUCGGAAUUACUGGGCGUAAAGCGCGCGUAGGCGGAUUGGUCAGUUAGGGGUGAAAUCCCAGGGCUUAACCCUGGAACUGCCUCUAAUACUGCCAGUCUUGAGUUCGGGAGAGGUGAGUGGAAUUCCUAGUGUAGAGGUGAAAUUCGUAGAUAUUAGGAAGAACGCCAGUGGCGAAGGCGGCUCACUGGCCCGAUACUGACGCUGAGGCGCGAAAGCGUGGGGAGCAAACAGGAUUAGAAACCCCAGUAGUCC
rnacentral:rRNA from 1 species